rnacentral:misc_RNA from 1 species
GUGCGGUUGUGCGCGUCGGACAAAAAUGAGCCAAAUGAGCGUUUUCCCAAUAGUUUAAAACACCAAACACGCGCAAAACACUGCAGACUUCGCGAAACACGCUAAAAGCAAAAGUUAACAGCAAAACACGGUUAAUCAAAUUUCGACAAGACGCCCAAGGCUGCUCACCAGUUUUUUGUAAAACAGCUGCAAAUAAGUUCAACUGAGUGAAACAAAUUGUUUCGAAAAAAAAAACACAGUUGGAUGCUGUGCAAAAAGCAACAACUCGACGACAAAAAUAUCGUAUAUGCGUCUUAUGCUGUGCCUGUGUGCGCCCUAAAAGUGUGCGAUUGUAUGUGUGUGCGUGUGUGGUCCAGUUUUGUGUAUAACAAAAAGAUUUUUGCGCUGAGUAUCCUUUGAAGGUGCUACUAAGGUUGUAUGUGUAUUGUGCAAAAGCUGAGCUGCAGCGCAGGAUAACGCAUUAGUCAUCAGCGAAAACAGCAGCAGAGCAGCGGGCAGCGCAGCCAGCGCAUCCUGUCUGUUGGUGCCGGUUCACACACAAAUAAAAAAAGCAAUAAAAACAACAAAAAAAGCUACAGCACUAACAGCAACAACAACAACAACGACAACAACUUGUUCUCCAUGCAUCGUUUAACCCCUGCGUGCGUGUAACAACAAUAACAACAACCAAAAGAACGCAGGCAAAAAGGAAAUUGAGAAUGGAGCGUAAAUUCACGCGCGGCUUGAAUAAGCCGGGCAUGGCCGCACAGCUGAGAGAGAGCGUCUCUCAGGUGGUGCGUGAGAGCGCAGUUUUGAGCAAGCCACUCGUCGUGGAGCCGGUCGACUUUGAAGCCUUUAUAGCCAAAAAUAAAACACUCAUACAAAAUGAUCCGCAGCGGGAGCUGCUUAUCUAUCCAGCGGACGAUGUCUCGGAGAUUGUCAUGCCGCGUAAGCAGCGCACAAAUGUCAAAUCGGUGGCGGAUCGCUUUGAGCCACCCAAUGAGGCAAUCGUGUGUCCACUGCAUGGCUCCGUGGUGCUGGGCAGCAAUGGUCACAGUCAGGUGAGCCGGCAGAGCAGCCUGCAGUCGAAUGGCAGUCUCCAUAAUGGGCACAGCAGCAAUACCAGCCUGUCCAACGGCAAUGGUCAAUUGUCGCGCAAGAGUUCGCAGUGUUCCAAUGGCUCGGCGAGUCGAAAGACAUCGCAGGAGUCCUCUUAUGAAUCGGCGUUGUCCUCCAGCACAUUGCGUUCGCAUUUGGCACAGCCCGAGGAGGUAGAUGAAUAUGCGGAGGAGGAGACAGCAGCUGGCGAGGAUGCAACAGACGCAACUACGCUGGGUACGCGUGCCGAGUGCACGCGCUUCACACGCCAAGCGCUGUACACGUAUCGUGCCAAGAAUCAUCUUAUCCACUACAAAUACAGUGCGUAUGGUGGCAACUGUCACGAUCUGCCCAGCACAUCACCCGCCGAGGAAUUGCUGGAGGAGCUGUACGAAAUCGAUGCCGAUCAGGAUCGCAUUGAUGAGCAAAUGACGCGCUCCCAGGCGGAUACGAUUACCAAGCAGGGUUAUCUGUUGAAGGGGCCCGAUUCGGCCUCGGAUCGCAUGUUCGCCAACAUUGGCAACAAGUCUUUUAAGCGUCGCUAUUGCUAUCUGCGCCAGGAGAUCGAUGGCACCUACAUGCUCGAAUUGCACAAGGAUGAGAAACAGGGCGAGGCCAAGGCCACCAUUGUCAUGGAUUUUUGCACGGAAGUAGUGCAGAAUCCCAAACGUGGUCGCUUCUGUUUUGAGCUGCGCAUGACAGCUGGCCACAAAUCCUUUACCCUGGCCGCUGAGAACGAGCAGGACUUUAAGGAUUGGCUAACCAAACUGUCCUCAGUGCUGGCACAGAACAAGGCGCAGGAAGAGAAGCGCAAUGCAUCGCUGGAACGUCAGCCGGCUGCCAAUGCGACGCCCACGCCGCAGCUGCAGCCGCCGGCCAUGGAGCCGCCCACGUUUGGUACACUCAAAGGCCUGGAUCAGUCACUUCAUCCACAGCUGAUGAAAUACGGACGCGAGACGGAUCACUCUAUUGCGCAGGCGCGUCGCGAGCAGCGUCGCCGCCUCUUCGCCUGCUAUCAGAGCCACGGCAAGGCUGUGACCAAUGACAAUGUGGAGCAAUAUCGCGAACACUUUGGCACACGCGUCCUGCUCACCUGUCAAUCCUUGCGCUUUCGACUACAGUGCCAGCCAGUUGAUUUGGCGGAUGGUGCAGGCGGUGAACAGUUGUGUCAGGUGGAGCCCUACAUUACAAGUUUAGCGCUGUACGAUGCGAAGGCCGGGCGCAAACUUAGCGAGAGCUUCUACUUCAACAUCAACGAGCCGGCGGCAGCUCAGAUGCUGCCCAACACCCCAGUGCCCGCCUCUGUGGCGGGCUGUGGCAUACCCAGGCGCGCGGAGAGCGAUGAGCGCAAUGCUGCCCAGGCGCCACAUUCACUAUUUGAUGGCGUCUCCUCAGAGCUGUUGCGCUGUCCGCGCCAGCAGUUCCAGCAGCUGCGCCAGUGCAUGUUGUCGGUGAGUGCGCCGCAUGCGGACAUCUAUCUGGUGCUGCGCAUCGAGAAAGUGCUGCAGAGCAGCAUUGCACAGGCGGCCGAGCCGUAUCUAAAGGCCGCACGUGAUGCCAAGUUGGGACAGAAGGUGCACAAGGCGGCCAAGAGCUGUGCCCAGCACAUUGGACACUAUCGCCAGCCAUUUGCGUGGGCCGCCCGACCUCUGUUCAAGGCCUACAGCCAUGAACUGGACGUAGAGUCGCAGUGCAUAUUCGAGUUUAAUACCAUCUAUCGUCAGGAGCUGGCCAAGCUGCGUGAUGAGGAGCUGCUCAAGCUGCUGGCCGACUAUCGCAAGCCAGAGAAGCUUAGCAAGUUGAACAUCAUACCGGGCUAUAUGAGGCUGCAGGUGCAGCUGCUGGACCAGACGGCCCCGUGCGGCUUGAGUAAAUCCCUGGCGCCUUUGUCCACUUUCAGUGCCUCCGCCAAGCAGCCGCUCACCUUGGAACUCUCAGAGUUUCAGAGCCAAACUGAGCGCGAUGCGUAUCCCUAUACUAAUUUCUGUAAUCAUCUUUAUGUGUAUCCCCUGAGCCUGCAGUUCGAUAGCCAAAAGUUGUUCUCACGGGCUCGGAACAUUACGGUCGUCGUUGAGCUAAGAGAUGGCGAUGGCGAGUACAGUAAACCCCUGAAGUGCAUCUAUGGUCGUCCAGGUCAGGAUUUGUUGGUCUCGCAGAUUGCCUGCCCGGUGCUGCAUCAUAAUGUGACGCCCACUUGGUACGAGGAAAUUAAACUGCGCCUGCCGCUGGGCCUCUUUCCGGAGCAUCACUUGCUCUUCUCCUUCUAUCACGUGUCGUGUAAUCUGAGCAAGAAACGUGAUGCACAUGCAUCGUUCGAGACGCCCAUUGGCUAUGCCUGGCUACCAUUGCUGCAGAAGAAUCGCAUCUGCUUGGAGGAGCAGAUGUUGCCCGUAGCUGCAACGUUGCCCGUGGGCUAUCUGUCGAUCCAGCCGCUGGGCUGGGGCAAGGGGCAGAACUGCGGCCCGGACAUUCAAUGGAUCGACAAUCAGCGUGCUCUCUAUAGCGUUGGCCUGCGUCUGGACUCCACGGUGCUAACGUCGGAUCAGCAUCUGCAUAACUUUUUCGCCCACUGCGAACGGCUGCUGGAGGGCGGCAAGACUGGCGCCCUGCCCGCCGAGACGGAGACAUGCAAAAUCCUGAAGGCGGCGCAUGCCAUCGACAUGCGUUCCCUGAUCAACUUUCUGCCCACGCUGCUCAACGAGUUGUUCACGCUGCUGGUGCACACCCAGUCCGAGGAGAUUGGCCUGAAUGUCAUCCGACUGCUGACGAACAUCAUUCAUCAGAUCAGCGAUGAGGCGAAGCGCACAGAGCUGUUGGCCGCCUAUGUCAAAUACGUGUUCCAUGCUCCUUACUACAGUCAGCAGACGGCACGAUUGCGCACGGUUCACGGCGAACUGUGCCGCCAUCUGCCCUACCUGCUCAAUCCCAACAACACGGACUUUCUCAUAGUGAACAAGUUCAUGCGCUACUCCGCGAUAUUCUUCGAUCUGAUUGUGAAGAGCAUGGCUCAGCACCUGUUGGCCACGGGUCGCAUACGCAUGCUGCGCAACGAACGCUUUCCCAAGGAGUAUGCGGAUCGUGUUGAGCAAUUGAUCAAGGCGCUGGUGCCGUAUAUAACCACCCGCUACGAGGAUCUCGGCGAAGAAACGCAGCUGCUGAACCGUUCGCUGGCGCGUUUUGUACGUCAAUGUCUCAGCUACAUGGAUCGUGGAUUUGUGUUCAAGCUGAUUCGCUUCUACAUGGAGCAGUUUGCGCCUGGCAAUCCGCGCGUGCUGCACGAGUAUAAGUUCAAUUUUCUGCAAGAGAUUUGCCAGCACGAGCACUAUGUGCCGCUCAAUCUGCCGUUUGUGCUGAACCCCAAGAAUCGGCCGCCGGAGCUGUUGCAGCAUUUCACGCUCUCGGAGCAGUUUUGUCGCCAGCAUUUCCUCUCCGGUCUGCUGCUGCAGGAGCUGAAGAGCAGCCUGAACGAGAUCGGUCAUGUGCGUCGCCAUGCGCUGUCCAUCUUCAAGGAUCUGCUAGCCAAGCAUGAGCUGGAUGCACGCUAUCAGCAGCGCGGCCAACUGUGCCGCAUCGCGCUUCUGUAUGUGCCCUGGCUGGGCAUUGUCAUGGACAACCUGCAUCGCAUCGAUGAUCUCUCCGACUCCGGCGGCUGCACGCCCAACGGGCAUGUCUAUGCGGACUCCGCGUCCUAUACGAAGCGUCUCAGCUGUUCCAGCAGCUAUGUUUUCAGCAAGGACUCGUCAACCUUUAGCUCGCUGACCUCGACGCCCAGAUCUAAAAACCGGCUCACCCUUCACACCGAUCAGGCGAGUCCCUGUCGCACCUCCAUGCACAUUAAGGAUCAUAACUACUUGGCUGCGAUUGCUGGCACAGCCAUUGGCAAUGGCAUCUCCAAUCUGUCGCUCAACUCGAAUUCCGAUUCUGGCCACUCGCAGGACACGACAACAAUUGGAGCUUACACGAAUGGCGAAACGGAUGUGGCGUUGCGAAAUGGCCACAAUCGGUCGGUGAGCGUGACGCAUGCACAAGUCCUGGCACGCUGCGAUAAGUUCAGUGCGGCGGAGAGCAAGGACCUGCUGCUUGGCUUCCUGUUCAUUGUGAAGCAUCUGUCGCAGGAUCAAAUGGUCGCCUGGUGGCAGAACUGCAACGAGACGGAGACACUGCAGUUCCUGUCAAUUUUGGAUCUGUGCCUGCUGCAGUUCCGCUAUGUGGGUAAGAAGAAUGUUGUGCUAGCCAGUGAUGCACGCCUCCAGAGGCCUACCAAGGCACACACACUGCCCGCACGCAGCACACCGCCUGUGCUGGAGAACGGCAGCCAAGAACCAAACACUGGCACUCUCACCCAGACGCGAGAGCAUCUGCUGGAGGAUAUGGACCUGUCGGCCAGAUCCCAGCAGGCGCUUUACGAGUCCAAUCUAGCCACGGAGGUGGGCAUGAUAAUACUGGACUGCCUGGGACUCUAUGUGCUGCAGUUCCGACAGCUGCUGGCGGAGAGUCUUGUGCUGCCCAAGCUGGCGCGUGUCUAUUUGCGCUUCCUGCAGCUGGGCCAGUCGGAGCGUCUGUCCAAGCACGUGUUCGCCGCCCUGCGCGCCUUCAUCAACAACUAUUCGAUGGCCCUGUUCAAGGGCAAUGCCAUGCUCUGUGGCCAGAUGGUCUAUGAGCUGCUCAAGGCCUGCGACAGCCGGCUGGUGGACAUACGCCAUGAAUCCUGCGCCGUUCUGUAUCUACUGAUGCGCAGCAACUUUGAGUUUAGCGGCCGCAAGGCACUCACCCGCGUCCAUCUGCAGGUCAUCAUCUCGGUGUCGCAGAUGAUUGGCAAUGUGAUUGGCCUGAACAAUGCCCGUUUCCAGGAGAGCUUGUCUAUUAUCAACAGCUAUGCCAACAGCGACAAGGCCAUGAAGGGCACGGGCUUUCCCCUGGAAGUCAAGGAUCUGACGCGACGCGUGCGCACAGUGCUGAUGGCGACGGCGCAAAUGCAGGCCCAUCACAUGGACCCGGAACGGCUGCUCGAACUGCAAUACUCGCUGGCCAACUCGUAUGCCUCGACACCGGAGCUGCGACACACUUGGCUGGUGACCAUGGCGCGCAAUCACGAGCAGAAUGGCAAUCUCUCGGAGGCCGCCUGCUGUCAUCUCCAUAUUGCGGCGCUCAUGUGCGAAUAUCUGCGCCUGCGCGGCGGCUGCACGCUCAGCUGGUCGUCAACAGCAUUUGGCAAGAUAUCGCGCAACAUUCCACUGGACGAGCAGGGCCUGAAGCUGGAUGCGGGCGCCCAGGACUCACAGUACACAGAGCAAAUGCUGCUGGAGCAGCUCAAGCAAUGUGCCGACUUCCUCGAUCGUGCCGAGCGUUUCGAGUGCCUCGGCGAACUCUACAAGCUCAUCCUGCCCAUCUACGAGCGUGCGCGCAACUUUAUUGAACUGGCCCAAAGCUAUGAGCAUCUCACCCAGGCCUACAAUAAAAUUGUCGAGGUGAAUCGUUCCGGCAAGCGCAUGUUGGGCCGCUUCUAUCGGGUUGUCUUCUAUGGCAUGAUGUACUUUGAGGAGGAUCACGCCAUUGAGUUUGUGUACAAGGAGCCAAAGUUGACAUCGCUUAGCGAAAUCUCGGAUCGUUUGGCCAAACAAUAUAAGGAAAAGUUUGGUGCCGAUGUCGUCAAACUCAUCAUGGAUUCAUCGCCGGUAAAAGUUGACGAAUUGGAUGCGAAACUAGCCUACAUACAAGUCACCCAUGUGAUACCCUUCUUCACCAAAGACGAGCUCGAUCAGCGUCUGAAUGAGUUCGAACAGAAUCAUGAUGUGGACACAUUCAUGUAUGAAACGCCCUUUACCAAAUCCGGCGCAGCGCGUGGCAGCGUUGAGGAGCAAUGGAAACGCAAAACGGUCAUUAAGACUCAAUAUUCGUUUCCGUACGUGCUCAAACGUAUACCCGUCAAAUCGCGUGAGAUUAUCGAGCUGAGUCCCAUAGAGGUGGCCAUCGAUGAGAUGCAAUCAAAGGUUUCAGAGCUGGAGGAAAUUAUUUUGCCCCCGGCGGAUGUCAAGAAGUUGCAGCUGCGCCUGCAGGGCAGCGUGGCAGUUACCGUGAACGCAGGUCCAUUGGCCUAUGCGCACGCCUUCCUGGACGCUAAGGUGAUCAAAAACUUUUCGCUGGAUCGCGUUGAGGAUCUGAAGGAUGUGUUCCGAGACUUUAUUGGUGUCUGUCACAAGGCACUGUGUGUAAACGAGCGCAUGAUCAGUGCCGAUCAGAAGGAGUAUCAUCAUGUGCUCAAGGAGAACUACGAGAAGCUUUGUCAAGCGCUCAGUGAGUUACUCCAAGAUGAGUCAUUCCAGCCGCUUAGCGAUGAUGCCGACACAGCCGCCCAGCGCAAUAGCAUGGCUUUAUUCAAUGCGAUCAGUGGGGCCUCACAUAACUCAAGUACAGCUUAAGUUCAAAACCAAACAAAAACAAAAACAGUUAAAACAAAUACCAACCAAUACCAAUACCAAUACCAAUACCAAUACCAAUACCAAUACCAAAAUACACACAUACUACGCACAGCUACUAAAAACGGUUUUAACAAAAGCAACGUAGAAGCAUAAAUUGUAGCUUUUAACUUGUUUGGUGUUCCUUUGUAAUGAUGUUUGAUCUUUGAUCUUUGACCUUUGAUGUUUGAUGUUGUCGUUGUUGUUGUGGCAGGUAAACUCUGAAAUUCGCCCCAUACCUUGGUUUGUGUCUCUCAUCUAACGGCUAAACGCACGCAUACAUAUGACUAACGCCCAGGUUUUGGUUUUGCCGUUUAUUAAAGUCCAUGCAAACACCAGCAAAUGCCACAUAUAAAUCCCACACAAACAAUACAGCAUAUAGCAGUAUACUAUAUAUACGAUAUACAAUAUAUACGAACACGCACACAUCCACCACACGAUAAACGAAAUUGUAACUAAUGUUUCCACCAGUUGACCAAGUUCCAGUACACAUGAGAAACACUUGUUAAUUCAUAAACCCGAUUAGCAUAACGAAUUAUUUAAUUGUUGUUAAA